rnacentral:sRNA from 14 species
ACCUGUCUUUGGACAAGGGUAUACGAGUAGCUGCACUCCCCUGCUAGGACCUCCAAACAAGUUCUCAAGGUCCAUUGUAGGAACGUAGGGUAAUCAAGC